GCAAGCCACUGGCUGGAAUGCCCUACUCGUCUUCACCGCGCUGUGAGUCCCUGAGAAGAGGCUGGCGGUCUCUGGGCGUUCUUCCUCGUAACCAGCCCCUUGGCCAUCCUUGCCAAGAUUCAUUUCUUUUGCGCCUUCGCUCCCACCCACCCUGAUCCGAGCUGGGAAUGGUCUCUUGGCAAAGUCAGACAAAUAUUUAGUAGUGGUAAUAACCAAGCAUCGCUAAAUGUAAUUAGCAGCAAGAGUGUUUUCCCCGAAGGAUAUUCUUGUAUCACUGAUAUUUCUUGUAUCAUCGAUUUCCCGUCGAUGUGGAACUUGUCUCAUCCCUCAGUUGACGUUAUCCUGCCAACUCUUCCUGGUGGAGAAGGGACCCACCUAGAAAUGUAGACACAGAGAACAGCACGUGUAUGGACGAGUCCGAGGCCAUUUUUUCAUGCUUGACUGCUGACUCCUUUUAAGCUGUCCUCGCUCCCUCUUUUCCUUGUGCCUCACACCUGGACAAGCUCAGAAGAAGGCCCGCGCUCCCUUCUUUUCCGUCCAUGGCAGAUUCCAACCAUGCAAACCCCUUUCCACACAAAUGCACCUGACCUAACUCCCUCACCGUAGUAAAAACCCAGACCAAUCUCCUUCCGUGCUCUCUCAAGGCAUCUUGGACCUUCUUGAGAAGCCAUUCCUGCUCCUUCAGAGACCUCGAAUCAUGUCAUUAAUAAACCUUUCCCUACCCUC